rnacentral:lncRNA from 1 species
UGUGUGAGCACACUCAGUCAACUAAAAUGAACUCCAAAACAGCUCCUGGAGGGCUGGGCUGCCCAAACAAUUUUCCUCUAGCUAAAAACUUUGAUUUUUUUUUUCCAGGACAUGGUUUGGAAAAACAAAUUCAUCAUCUAACUUUCCUCUGUGUGUCAUGUCUUCGAGGUUCACAGGACAGGGAAGGUGUUCCUGCUGGAAGAGGUGGAACAGCUUUAACCUGUGAUUUUCCUGUGGUCGUAGGUGUCUCUGCAGAUUACCAGCAGCAGGGAAUUAUCUCCCCCUUCCUGAGCAGCCUUGGGGUCCAUAGGGGAUCUCUGAUGGACAUGAUGGGAGCUCGGUCAGCCCUUCCACAUUAAUGGCUCUGCACCCAGGUCUCCGUGUGCCAGACCCUCUGCAUUUCAGGGCCAAUGGCCAAGUUAUAAUUUUUUUAUGGUCCCAGGAGGUGAAGAAAGGGAUGGGAGGACUUCCAAUCCCAGAGCAACUGUGUUGGUGGAGCCAGUGGACUGAGCAAUGCCCCUUGGAGUUUCUUGGCAUCUCUGACCCGCUGCUGGGCUGGAGGAUGGUCCUUCAGGACUUUUCCAGCCCGAAUGGCUCUGUGGUUCCAUGGCUGUGAUUUCCAGCUCCCCAGAGCUGUUUGCAGGCACAGCCCAGCCCCAGCCCCUACCCCAAGGUGCUGCAGGGAACCAGGGCCAGGAGGAGGCUGGGGAAACCGAGAGGAAAUGCUGCAUCCAAGGCCAUGAAACAUCCAGGAGCUCCACAGUGAGGGGCUGCAGGGCAUCUCCAGACCGGGGCAAUGCCAAGCUUCAGGCAUACACGGCAAGCAGGAGCAGCCAGGGAAAGAGGAGCUCUGAGGGAAUGCUGAGAGAACACAGCAGAGUGCAGAAUGGUUUUAAAAAAUAUAUAAACAGAGGUAUUGACACUGGAAAUGUCAUCCUAGGAGCUGCUGCACUUCUGUCCAAUGCUGAGAGUGACAUGGACCAAACCCCACAUCCCACUGCUUCCACAGAGACCCUGCUGGGAAAGGGGAGUCACAAAAGGACCUGAGCCUGCAGGGAAGGGUCCAGGCCCCAACCUGUGGGCUUUGUACCCCGAGUACAACCGUGGCUGCUGUACCCCGAGUUUGGCACCGGAAUUUGGUGAGGGAGAGUGCGUGAGCAGAGCUGGGAAAGCCAAUUUACUGAGAGGGACCCCGGCUGCUCCUUGUAUCUGGCAAAACCUCCCGCAGCACCUCAGGGGAGACACAAGCUUGAAAUCUUAAUUAAAAAGCAGAAAGCAGGGUUUCAUGCAAGGCUGAUAUUGUGACUCUCUUCCCUUUAUGGACAAUUCUUAUGCAA